ACUCCUACGGGAGGCAGCAGUGGGGAAUAUUGCACAAUGGGGAAACCCUGAUGCAGCCAUGCCGCGUGUGUGAAGAAGGCCUUGGUUGUAAAGCACUUUCAGUAGGGAGGAAGGUAGUGUAGUUAACACCUGCACUAUUUGACGUUACCUACAGAAGAAGCACCGGCUAACUCCGUGCCAGCAGCCGCGGUAAUACGGAGGGGUGCGAGCGUUAAUCGGAAUUACUGGGCGUAAAGCGCAUGCAGGCGGCCUGUUAAGUCAGAUGUGAAAGCCCGGGGGCUUAACCUCGGAAUUGCAUUUGAAACUGGCAGGCUAGAGUCUUGUAGAGGGGGUAGGAAUUUCAGGUGUAGCGGUGAAAUGCGUAGAGAUCUGAAGGAAUACCAGUGGCGAAGGCGGCCCCCUGGACAAAGACUGACGCUCAGAUGCGAAAGCGUGGGGAGGCAAACAGGAUUAGAUACCCUGUAGCACAGAG
rnacentral:rRNA from 1 species